rnacentral:rRNA from 1 species
UACGUAGGGUGCAAGCGUUAAUCGGAAUUACUGGGCGUAAAGCGUGCGCAGGCGGUUAUGUAAGUCAGAUGUGAAAUCCCCGGGCUCAACCUGGGAAUGGCAUUUGAGACUGCAUGGCUAGAGUGUGUCAGAGGGGGGUAGAAUUCCACGUGUAGCAGUGAAAUGCGUAGAGAUGUGGAGGAAUACCGAUGGCGAAGGCAGCCCCCUGGGAUAACACUGACGCUCAUGCACGAAAGCGUGGGGAGCAAACAGGAUUAGAAACCCUAUAGUCC